CUAUGAGACACACGCAUUUGGUCUCGAACUCACACACACAUGCAUAUUGUAGCCCUCACUUUCUCGUCUUUAUAUGAUUACAUUUAGACGAGAAUUCAGUAGAAAACAGUGCCCGUGACUUUUGUAAGGCCAAGUUAGCUAGACGCUAACCCCCCUCACACAGCCACCCACACAGUAGCUAGGCCUACCUUGAUUGUUCUGAUUCACUGAAUGCCAUAGAAUAUCAAUCUACAGUUAAUCUACUUCAACAGACGGGUUCAUCCUUUGGCCGAAAAUUUAUGACAGGGUACCUGUCCACGAUUGGUGUGCAUGCAGGAGAAACAAGAGUUGGGAACAUUUUAAGAGACGUUCGUCAGCCAUAUAACGAAAUGCGAAGAAACGGUGCCCGUAAUCUGAACCCCAUCCCCUACCACGCUGAAAACAUGGGUCAUAAACUGUAUAUGGACCAGAAUGAAAAGCUGGGAAUGUUUGGUGUGACACAUGUAGUUGCAGUGGAUGGCUACAGUAGCAGAAUUGUGGCAAAUUCUACCAUGCCAGUGAAAAACAACUUAUGCAUAUAUGAUGAAGUGUACAAACGUGCAGUAUUGACCCACGGGAUGUGGGACCAAGUGAGGGUUGACCAUGGGAAGGAGUUUUAUUUAUCACUGUACAUGCAGGAAAUCCUGUCUGAGCACAGACAUAAUCUCAACCGGCAGCCCUACAUCCAGUCCACAUCGUC